UACUGCUAUUCUCGCUACCCCUUCCUAUGAUCCAUUGUUGACGAUGCUGCUUUACGGCAAGGAGACCUUGGAGUAUGAAGACAUAGUCUUGGUGCUAUAGUCCAAUGAACAGUGGGAGAAGUUAACCAAGGAAGGUGCUCCCCAAGAAGGCUUGGCCAUGGAAAAGAGAUCAGGAAGAGGAAGGGAAAGAAGUAAGUCUAACAGAUAGUCAAAG
rnacentral:lncRNA from 1 species